rnacentral:lncRNA from 1 species
UGGCUGUCUGCAGCCUUGACCGCCUGGGCUAAAAUGAUCCUCCCACCUCAGCCCACCAAGUACCUGAGACUACAGGGAUGUGCCACCAUUCCUGGCUAUUUUUUUAUUAUUAUUAUUAUUUUUUUUUUUUUUUUGAAGAGAUGAGGGUCUUGCUGUGCAUGCCUUCCCAACAAUCCCCCAAAGUCUUAAUUCAUUCCAGCAUUAACCCAAAAGUCCAACCAUUCUAAAUGGGAGAAAUUGGCCAAAACAAAGGGGACACAGGUCCCAUUCAAGUCUGAAAUCAGCUGGGUGGUCAUUAAGCCUUAAUGUUAACCACUGCACCUGGUCAGUAUUUAAAAAUAUAUAUGUAUAUAUUUUGCUGUAUUGUUAUUCCACUGGAUCUAUAUGAAAAACAGCGACCUCCCAAACAUCAAACUCAGUGGCUCGUUGAGUCAUUCCAUAGCAUUUCCCUUUGUGACUGCCCAUUCUGUAAACCUGCCUCUCUUUCUUCCAUGCAAGGAACUUCACGUUUCCCUCUGGCACAGACCUCUCUCCCAAGUUCCAAACGUCCACUGGAUUUUACCCUGGCAUUUAUUCUUGGUUUCUUAGGGAUCCAAAUACAAAGAGUUAACACAUUUUCCAAAAAUUCUUAUAAGUCUGAAAAGACACAGGCCAGCCUUUGCUCAUUCAGUGUAUACUGAGCUCAUCCUAUGUGCUUGUUACUGAAUUUCUUCAAUCGGAAUUUAAUUAGGCACCCUUUUGUUGAGUACAUGGAAUUGUGUGGAACUAAAGGAACACAGGCAUAUAUAUUUGUGUCUGCAAGCACACACUCUAACAUUAUUUGCUGUUUCGCAUGUGUAAUCUCUCUACCCAUUAAAGCUCCACAUGACAGAUGAGGGGAAGAUGAGAAACUGGUGGAUGGGUUUCAGCAAAUCAAGCACCCCACGGUCCCAUGUACUGAUUUUCAAAGCUGAAUUUUAACAUAAUUUAAGCCAACAAAACAAACUUGGCACAAAGCAAGAUACUGAGACCUCUGAAUAAAAGCAACUUUCUAAAAAUAUUUAAAAAGAAGUUUUGUUUAAGAAAUCCCAAACCAAUACCUACCUUGGGCCAAUACAGUAUUGAAACAAGGGAAGUGACAGGACAGGAACCCUUCUAGAAAUGUUCCACCUUUGAAGGUAUCAUCUCACUAACAUAGGUGAACUCUCUGUUUUAUGACAUGGUGUAUUUCUUUUCCCAGGCAAAUAAUUUCCUAAAGCAACCAUCAGUGACACAUUUAAUGUUACGAAGUCAGUCGGACACAGAGCAAGCAUGAAAGCCUGCUUCCAUGGGAGGCAGGUGAGCCUCCUGAGCUGGUACACAUUUUACAAAAGCACAGAAUUUUAAGGGAAUAUAGGGUUAUAAACAUAAGUUGCAUGUCCAUAUAAAAGAGACAAUAACUGGCCAAUAAAUGAACUAUACAGUUCUCCCCUCUUAUCUGUGGGAGAUGUUCCAAAGUCCCCGGUGGAUACCUGAAAUUGCAAAUACCAAACCGUACACACACGAUGUUUUUUCCCAUGCAUACAUAUCCACGAUAAAUCGUUUAAAAAUUAGACACAGUAAGAGCUUAACAACAAGAACUAAUAAUAGA